UACGGGGGGAGCAAGCGUUGUUCGGGUUUACUGGGCGUAAAGGGCGCGUAGGCGGCCACCGCAAGUCGACUGUGAAAUCUCCGGGCUUAACCCCGGAAAGGUCAGCCGAUACUGCGGGGCGUAGAUGCAGAAGGGGCAACUGGAAUUCUCGGUGUAGCGGUGAAAUGCGUAGAUAUCAGGAGGAACACCGGUGGCGAAGGCGGGUCUCUGGGCCGUAACUGACGCUGAGGAGCGAAAGCAUGGGGGAGCGAACAGG
rnacentral:rRNA from 1 species